AGAGUUUGAUCCUGGCUCAGGACGAACGCUGGCGGCGUGCCUAACACAUGCAAGUCGAACGGAGAAUUUCAAGAUGUUUACAUGGCGAAAUUCUUAGUGGCGGACGGGUGAGUAACGCGUGGGUAACCUACCCAUAAAGCCGGGACAACCCUUGGAAACGAGGGCUAAUACCGGAUAAUCUUAAGUUUUGGCAUCAGAAUUUAAGGAAAGAUGGCCUCUGAAGAUGCUAUCGAUUAUGGAUGGACCCGCGUCUGAUUAGCUAGUUGGUGGGGUAAAGGCCUACCAAGGCGACGAUCAGUAGCCGGCCUGAGAGGGUGAACGGCCACACUGGGACUGAGACACGGCCCAGACUCCUACGGGAGGCAGCAGUGGGGAAUCUUCCGCAAUGGACGAAAGUCUGACGGAGCAACGCCGCGUGUAUGAUGAAGGUCUUCGGA
rnacentral:rRNA from 1 species